rnacentral:rRNA from 1 species
CCUACGGGGGGCAGCAGUGAGGAAUAUUGGUCAAUGGGCGCGAGCCUGAACCAGCCAAGUAGCGUGAAGGAUGACUGUCCUACGGGUUGUAAACUUCUUUUAUCAAGGAAUAAAGUGAGGCACGUGUGCCUUUUUGUAUGUAUUUUAUGAAUAAGGAUCGGCUAACUCCGUGCCAGCAGCCGCGGUAAUACGGAGGAUCCGAGCGUUAUCCGGAUUUAUUGGGUUUAAAGGGAGCGUAGAUGGGUUGUUAAGUCAGUGGUGAAAGUUUGCGGCUCAACCGUAAAAUUGCAGUUGAUACUGGCAGCCUUGAGUACAGGUGAGGUAGGCGGAAUGCGUGGUGUAGCGGUGAAAUGCUUAGAUAUCACGAAGAACUCCGAUUGCGAAGGCAGCAUACUAAACUGACACUGACAUUGAUGCACGAAAGUGUGGGUAUCAAACAGGAUUAGAUACCCUAGUAGUC